rnacentral:misc_RNA from 1 species
GAUGAAUAACGCAGCGAAAUGCGAUAAGUAAUGUGAAUUGCAGAAUUCAGUGAAUCAUCGAAUCUUUGAACGCACCUUGCGCCCUUUGGACUUCUGAAGGGCAUGCCUGUUUGAGUAUCAUGAACACCUCAACUCCUUAUGGUCUUCCAUGAUGAGCUUGGACUUUGGGGGUUUUGCUGGCCUACAGUCAGCUCCUCUAAAAUAAAUCAGCUUACCGGUGUUUGGUGGGUAUCAUGGGUGUGAUAACUAUCUACGCUCGUGGUUUUCCACCAGGUAACCUUCAGCAGUGGAGGUUCACUGGAGCUCAUAGAUGUCUCUCCUCAGCGAGGACAGCCCUUUGAAUGUUUGAUCUCAAAUCAGGUAGGACUACCCGCUGAACUUAAGCAUAUCAAUACGCGGAGGA